UACAGAGGUCCCAAGCGUUGUUCGGAUUCACUGGGCGUAAAGGGUGCGUAGGCGGUUAGGUAAGUCUGAUGUGAAAUCUCUGGGCUCAACCCAGAAAAUGCAUCGGAUACUACUUAGCUAGAGGAAUGGAGGGGGGACUGGAAUUCUCGGUGUAGCAGUGAAAUGCGUAGAUAUCGAGAGGAACACCAGUGGCGAAGGCGAGUCCCUGGACAUUUCCUGACGCUGAGGCACGAAAGCUAGGGGAGCAAACAGG
rnacentral:rRNA from 1 species